GUCUCAUCUUCACUCUGCUCUGUGUGGUACUGGCGUAGUGUGCCGAGCAAGGCCCACACCCUGCACCAGCGUUCCAGGGGGGCCUGAGAAGGCACGGGGCCGCUGGGAGACCUGGAGAACAUGGUAGCCGGUUUGCCCUAGUGGGAAGGGUCUCAACCGCAAUCUCAAGCUCUACACUGGCUCCAUGCGGGAAACCCUACCCCGGAGGAACUGCAGAAAACUGGGGAGAGCAGGCAUUAGCCACCUGCCUCGGGUCAUUCUUGCGUAACCCCUGGCCUGUGUGACUAAAAUGACGCCCUAGCCUAGGAGAUGGCAAACAGAGCCUGGCUGCACCGAGCCCAGAGGAAGCGGGUCCGGCAACUCUUGCUGAAUGCUGAGGACAGCACCGGAGCGGAGCGGCGACGGGAGCCUGCACCGGCCCGAGUAACUGAGCUUCCUCCUCCCACAACACAGUCACGGAAAUCAGUCCUUUCUGGUUGGAGACAGGGUACCGAGUCCUUUCCUUUGCUGCAAACACUGAGAAAGGAGGACCCAUAGGCUGGACCGUGACAGAGACCGCACAGCCCUGCGGCUGGAUGCAGCUCAGCAGUGAGCGCCUUUCCUCUCUGAGGCCCAGGCCCUGGCUGCAGGGCCGCAGAGCCAGCUGCCGGGUGCCUUCUCCCUUCAAACAAAGAUGGCGGAUCUCGGGUUGGCCUUCAGCUGGGAUAACCUGGAACCUCAUGCCACUACGUACAACGCGCUGCGGUCACAGGUGUGCCCCACCACACUCAACUGUGCUCUUCUCCUAUGCACUCCCACUUCGAAAGACAUGGCCUGUUUAGCGCUAGCAUAGGACACCUCAUGCGAAGACCUCUGCUCCCCGUCAGGACCUCUGCUCCGGUUCCAGAACAGCUGCGGGGCUCAGGCUUACUUCCCUCCUCUUGUUGGGACAGCUUAACUUGGUGGACAGGCAGCGCGAAGCAAGUCUACAAAUUGUGGCACCAGAGUUACUAGGAUUGCGGGCUGGGGCCCAGCCUAAGCUACACAAAAAGAGCCUGCCCUGCACCCUAACACAAACAACGGAAAAAACGGCCCACGCCCAUGGAUUGGCCUCCUUGGCUUCCGUGCCCGGUGUUUGACAGGGACUCGCGGCACACUCGCAGACCUUGGGUUAGGUUGCCCAUGAAGUUGAUGCAAGUGCUGUGCAGGGCCCAAGCUGACCCGGGGGGCAUUCCCACCUCCAAAGGCAGACACACUGUCCUAGGCAGAGGAAGACCAAAGUACAGGUCAUGCUUUUAAGAGGGGAACUGUAAAGCAGACUGUUUCUUCCUGUGCAGUGAGUGUAUUCUCUACAGUGAUGAUCACAGAGAACUGUCAGCCCUGUUAGCUGAGUUUUUGGUUUUUCAAGGCCAGGUUUCUCUGUGGAGCCUUUGCUUUUCUGGGCUCACUUUGUAGACCAGGCUGGCCUUGAACUCACAGCGAUCCACCUGCCUCUGCCUCCCCAAGUGCUGGCACUGGGUGAUGUUCUUUAGUCUUUGGAGAGAUAAUACUUGCAUUUCCUGUUUUUUUUUUUUUUUUUCAUUUUCGGUGAACAGUUGUUUGCCUGCGUGUGCACAUGUGCAAUGUACCAUCUGCAUGUGUUCAGCUAUAGGCUACCUUGGUCAGACUGGAUAUUGUAUGUGUAUUUUUAAGGUUCAAUUACUAGAUGAAGGUCUAUAUGCUAACACAGGAAUGCAGAUCCUGUUUAGUGUUGUCUCGGAACAAGGUCAUACAGUGGCUGGUGUGCUCCAUGUCACAGAGUUUGGAGAACUGAAAUGCAUGCACCAUGCCAUAGAUUCAUAUUCAGAAUUCUAGUGGGCUUUUGCCUUAAAUUCUGGAAAGCAUGAGCCUACGGUUACACAUUUGUUAGAGAUGGUAAAUAUUUUGGAGAUGCUCUUGCAAAUUGGGGAUGAUGGUGCUUCAGCAUGUAUAUCCAUUUGAAUUCAAUAUUUUAGACAUUAUGCCAUGAAACCUGUUAUAGAUAUAACUUAUAAUCCUAUAGGUCAAACAAUUUUGAAAAUAUCUAAGUAAUUUUAAAAAGAUGGUCAUAAAACAGAAGGGAAAUAUAGCUUCCCCAAAUAGAUUAAAUAAUGAUUUAAGAGAUAAAUGAGAUCCCAAAUAGAUUAAAUAAACACUUAAGAGAUAAAUGAGAUAAGUAGCAGAGCUGCUAAGACUCACUGGAAUUUAGAAAGGACUACUGAAUUAGAGCAGCAUGUAAAGGUCCUAAUUCCAAAACGGAGAGCAGGGAAUGUGUUACACUGGGGAAAAGGUAUUACGUAUGUUCAUGCAGGAGAAGAGAAAUUACGGGUUCCAUCAAAAGUAAUAAUCAGAAAUGACAGAGGAAGACCACCAGAAGAUCUUGGCCACAAAUAAAAAGAGAACUCAGGAAGACUAAACAGAACAGGUAACAUAAAUUGAUGAUCUGUUCACAUGGAACAACUGACUGAAACAUUAAAAAAAAAAAAAAAAAAAAAAAAUGCCUCCAGCCAGAACUUCAAUAUUACAUGACCAAAUAAAUUCUUGGCGACAAUAUCCCCAAAUUUUAUUAUGCCAUUCUUUUAUUUGGCAUAGUAAAAUUGGUUUACAGUUUAGUUUCAUCCUGAACAUCUCAUACAUUUAUAAUUUUAGAACUGUAUAAUGCAGAACAAAAGGACCAGACACUGGAGAUGCUGGAUCAAACCUGACAGAAUCUUUCCAGCAUGCUGAGACAUUGACACAUCUGUUCCAGCAUCUUGCAUGUUCCAGCAUUCUGCUUCUUCCUGCCUCAGCUGCCUCAAUUACUGUUUCUCAUCAAAGUCUGCUCCCAAGAGAGCUUUGAAGAAAGCUACUACUCUCAAUUGGUCCAGCAUUUUAGACUGUUCCAAACAGCAAUUCUAUUAACCUGAAAUUUCUCAACAUUCAAAGACUGGACCACAAAUGCUAAUGCUUGCUUAAUUAACCCAUUUUAUCCAAUUUCCUUAGGGUCCCCUAACAGGACUUCUACAUCCAAAAUGUCAGCUAGAAAAAAAAUUAUGAGAAUGACGUCCAAUUUCCUUUGGGGGGGGGGUUGGGUAAGUUUUCGGUUGUUUGCUAUGGCUAUGAAUGUUUACUGUCAUUGGGAGAUAGUUAUCAGUUAUUAGUGGUCUUAUUCAGAGAGAAAAAAAAGGUUAGACUCAGGGAUUUCUCUCUUUUCCUUUCCUCUUUCUUAGAUAAGGAGAAAAGGGAUUGAAAAGAAAAGUGAAUACAGGGAUGUCUUGUAGGAAUAAUACAAAAGGUAGAUUAUUGAAUCUACUCAACUUAAGGCUUUGUUAUUCUCCAAGGUUACUUCCAAUACUUUAAACUACUAUUGCAGACACUAGUUGAAUUUAUCACAGGUUUAUACAUCUUAGGGUUAGCAGAUAGAUAUGAUUUUUGUAGACAGGUCGAUUACAUAAGUAAUCGAUAAGUAAGUCUUCAAAAACCUCAGAGACCUACAGAAGAUGGCAUUUAAAAAAUGUCUUUAUUAUUUUAAAGAUUCUUUGACAAUGAGACAGGUCAUCUCCUGGCAGCACCCCGCCUACCUCAAAGAUGAUGAUGAGCAUCAAAGAACCCACAUAUGGAAAUGGCUUCAAAUGUGGCAAAUGAGCCACUCGGGCAAAAAAGAAAAUGCCCCCAUUUCACAACAAACAGAAUUCUGCCAAAAAAUGGGCAAGCUUAAAUGCAGGACAAGUCAACUGCUGAAUUCUCCCAAGACAGUGUAAGCAAGUCCUAAAUAGUUCCUGCUUCAUUUAUAUGUCAGUCACAUAUCCUGAGCAAUGACACUCCAACAUUAGAGUUUUUGCAUGACUGUUUAGGUGCCUAAACGGUCUGUGUCAAUUUUUUUUUUUUUUUUUUUUUUGGAAACUGCUAACAUGCAUUUCCUGUUUACUCCAGUAACUACUUUUAUUCCUUCUCAAGGUGGGGUUGGAAACCAAAAAGUUAUAGUUCCACAAAUGUUUUCAUAUAGAUACCAAUAAGGAUAAACGUUGUAAGGUAUAGAACUCUAUAAACUUGUCAAGAUAAAAUAGAUAAUAAAAUACUUUCUCCUAAGUUGCCAAAUGCACACGAACUGCACACUGCAUAUAAAUCUUACCCAAUAGUUUCCAUAACUUUUAUAAUUAUUGUAUUGAAAGAAAAGGAGCUGUUUAUCGGACUUAAAGGGGGAAAUGUUGGUAUAACGUUCUUGUGGAAUGUAUACAAUUUAACCUUAAUCAUUCAAAUGCUGAUUUCUCUACCCCACUAUCUGGUUUCAAUCUGGACAUUGCAUUGUGAUGUUUAUUCUAAGCACCACCUGUCUCUCAAGUUUGUAUAAACAUGUUCUCUGUAUUUUCAAAAAUAUAACCAGCCAGUGCUGUGCAAUCGUGAGAAUAGGGUGGGACAUCCUGAUCCUGAGGGGAGGAAGGUAGCAAGCGGGAGGAGUGGGAGAGCUGAGAUCAGCAGGAGAGAACUUAAAACCACCAGGAGGGAUGACCCAGACCUAAGAUAUGACUAAAAUCAAGCAUACUAUGGAAAAUCUGAAUGGAAGGAAAACUAUGCGGGCUUGGAGGUUUGGGAAGGAGUAAUUAUUGCCCAGCAGUGUGCUCUAGGAUAAUUAAGAAAAUCAUAGUCUCUGUAUGGUGAUUUGGGAAUACACCUGGUUUAGAACAGCUGCUGUUUAACUAAAAGAUAAAACUAUAAUAAAUAUUAAUAACCCACGACAGUAAUGGCAAAAGAACCCCAAGUUCAAGGCCAGACAUAGCUACAUGCUGAGUCCAAGGUUGGCCAGGACACAUAAGCCACUAUCUUGAUUAAAACAAAAUAUAGUUAGGAGCCUAGGGCUAGCUUUUUCCCUUUCUGUUCACUGUUCCAUUCUGUUCUCUCUACCCUGAGUCAGCUAUGGAGUGAAGUCUGGUGCACCUAUGACCGAGGGUCAUUAAACACAUUUGAAUUUCUGUUUUUAUAGAAUGCCCCUUGUUUCCUCUAAAUAUGUGAACAGCAGAAUUUAGUUUGUAAUCAAGUGUGCAGGCUACUUCUUCUGAAAUGUGCUAUAAUUAAACAUCUCUGGAGCGGA